rnacentral:rRNA from 1 species
UAGGGAAUCUUCCGCAAUGGACGCAAGUCUGACGGAGCAACGCCGCGUGAGUGAAGAAGGAUUUCGGUUCGUAAAACUCUGUUGUUAGAGAAGAACAGCGCAUAGAGUAACUGUUAUGCGUGUGACGGUAUCUAACCGGAAAGCCACGGCUAACUACGUGCCAGCAGCCGCGGUAAUACGUAGGUGGCAAGCGUUGUCCGGAUUUAUUGGGCGUAAAGCGAGCGCAGGCGGUCAAUUAAGUCUGAUGUGAAAGCCCCCGGCUCAACCGGGGAGGGUCAUUGGAAACUGGUUGACUUGAGUGCAGAAGAGGAGAGUGGAAUUCCAUGUGUAGCGGUGAAAUGCGUAGAUAUAUGGAGGAACACCAGUGGCGAAGGCGGCUCUCUGGUCUGUAACUGACGCUGAGGCUCGAAAGCGUGGGGAGCGAACAGG